rnacentral:rRNA from 1 species
GAACGCUGGCGGCGUGCCUAACACAUGCAAGUCGAACGAGCAAAUACAUUUGAUUUCUUCGGAAUGAAGAUGUAGGCGCGAGUGGCGGACGGGUGAGUAACGCGUGAGUAAUCUGCCUCAUACAGGAGAAUAACACUAAGAAAUUGGUGCUAAUACUCCAUAAGCUCACAUUAUGACAUCAUAGAGUGAGAAAAGAUUUAUCGGUAUGAGAGGAGCUCGCGUCUGAUUAGCUAGUUGGUGGGGUAACGGCCUACCAAGGCAACGAUCAGUAGCCGACCUGAGAGGGUGAUCGGCCACAUUGGAACUGAGACACGGUCCAAACUCCUACGGGAGGCAGCAGUGGGGAAUAUUGCACAAUGGGGGAAACCCUGAUGCAGCAACGCCGCGUGAAGGAAGAAGUAUUUCGGUAUGUAAACUUCUAUCGACAGGGAAGAAACAAAUGACGGUACCUGAAUAAGAAGCACCGGCUAAAUACGUGCCAGCAGCCGCGGUAAUACGUAUGGUGCAAGCGUUAUCCGGAUUUACUGGGUGUAAAGGGUGAGUAGGCGGUCAUGCAAGUCAUAUGUGAAAUGUCAGGGCUUAACCUUGGCGCUGCAUAAGAAACUGUAUGACUAGAGUGCAGGAGAGGUAAGCGGAAUUCCUAGUGUAGCGGUGAAAUGCGUAGAUAUUAGGAAGAACACCGGUGGCGAAGGCGGCUUACUGGACUGUUACUGACGCUGAGUCACGAAAGCGUGGGGAGCAAACAGGAUUAGAUACCCUGGUAGUCCACGCCGUAAACGAUGAGUGCUAGGUGUUGGCCAGAGAUGGUCGGUGCCGCAGCAAACGCAAUAAGCACUCCACCUGGGGAGUACGACCGCAAGGUUGAAACUCAAAGGAAUUGACGGAAG